rnacentral:rRNA from 1 species
AUGGAUAAUACAAAUCAUAACAUCAUUGUGUGGAACAUUCGUGGGCUCAACAAUGCGGCUAGGGGCGCAACCUUGAGAAGCGUCGUUGAGGAGGCGGCGGCCUCGGUGGUGUGCAUCCUUGAAUCCAAGCUAGAGGUGGUGGAUCAACGCGUGAUUACCUUCCUGUUGGGCAUGAAAUUUGAUGCGUACGUGGCACUACCUGCGCAGGGCACG